GGCUGGAGCGAGAGCCAGGUCAGCACUUGAGCACAUACUGCUCUUCCAGAGGGUCAGAGUUGGAUUCCUAGCACCCAUAUUAGGUGGUUCACAAUCCUUUGUAACUCCAGCUCUCGGAGGAUAUGAUGCCUCUGUGGCACCUGGAUUUGCAUGCAUAUACACCUUCCCCAGACACAUAUACAUGACAAAAAUAAUAAAAAUAAAAUGUAAAAAGAGAAGCCCAAGAGAGUAAAAAGAUGAUGUGACAGUAAGUAUCCCGACCUUCUCAGCAACAAGUUUGUGGUAGAGCAGAGAGAUCCCUGGCGUUUCAGAGCUCAGCGAUGUCUUAUAAUAAGGAAGAGAGCUUUGUCAGAUUGGAAACAGACGAGCAGAAACCGGAACACUUGCAGAGCCCGGGAAGAGUGAGGUGGCUGAAAGGGAGGUUUCAUGUAAGAGCAGACUGACAGGAAAGGGUCAGUUUCAGAUUAUAGAUUAAGGUGAAAAAUCGGAAUGCUCUCUUGGAGAAGCCACAGAGGUGUUUCAUGGGAGCCUGAUGUAAGCGGAGAGAGAUGGUUAGAGUGGAGGUGGAGUAUUGGAUGGUGUGUAGGGUGGGUUUGGACAACAGCGUGGGGGAUGGGUGGUUGGGUUGGGAGGGGCUUUGGAGAGGAGAGUCAGUGACUUAUGUGGGAGAGUGGAGAUCAUCCACUCACUUCAAUGGAGUCUUUGUUCAGUUGGCUUUUUAGUUCUUGCUUUUGUCGUUCCUCCGCACUCUGUAGAAUAACCAGUGUCCUCUUUCAGAGCAGUUUAGACAACUGUGGGCUUUCUAGGGGAAAAAGUAUAAGGCAUCUAUGAUUCAUUAAGUUCUCAUACUCGUGAAUGUUCCCUUCCGGUGUAUUGAGCCUGGAAUGUCUAACUGUAGGGGAAAUGGUGUCAGCAGCAGUCCUAACCAUUGUUACCUGCCCCUCUCGGUAUGUGAGGUAAACUUAGCUUGUAAGGCUUUGUGUGACCCGCCUGCUCCCAUCACAUACAAGGAGAGGUCCUUGCUCCUUCCGAGCCAGGUCUAGAACGGGUCUGCCCAGACUAAGUCUUUAUAGAUUGAGGCCUUUGUGACUUAGUGGCCUGUACUUUAUUUCAGUUAGGCAAACACGAAAAGCCCCCUCCUUUCUGUGUAAUGGCUCAGAGGUGUUCUUUUGGGGAAAUUUCUUAAGUUGCCCUUACACACUGUACCGCGAUUUGGAAGAACGAGAAGAAGUUCAGUUCUCUGUAAACUGGAGUGUUCGUUUUCCCUUUUUAUAGCAGUGGGUCAGUACAGGUUGACUGACGUGCAGAUGCUCUCGUGGACCCCGGAGACUCCUUUCCUUCUGUCGGUCCUGGUUUUGUUCAGGUGACUCAUGAGCGGGGUACUUAGGGAUGAUGCUGGGUGCUGUAACUUGCUUCUCACUCAGUUCCAACUGCGCUGGGAAGACCCAGGCAAGAGGGGCAGGGAACCGUGAACAAACUAAGAAGCACAAAUCUCUUAAACUCGAGCCCUGCUUAGCUAAAUCCAUUUUCUGGGGCUGGGAAAUUGUUUUAACACUAAGAACUCCAAGGGCUGGGGAAAUAGCUUCGUUGGUAGAGUGCUUGCUUAGCCUGCCUGAGGUUUAAUCCCCAGCUCCCAUGAGCCAGGCUUAGUGGCAUAGGCUACAACCCGAGCACUCACAAGGUAUAGGUAGGUGGAUCAAAAGUUCUUGGCUAUUCUCUGCUACAUAGCAGGAUUUAGGUCAAUCUGAGAUAAACGAAAAGAAUGAAGAUUCCAAUCUCAGUGAAGCUGACCAGUAGGAGGCUGACCUGCUGGAGGCUUUGGGGGAAAGGCCGCCUUUUGCCAAGAGGACCACAAAAUCGAUCUAUCUGGCAGGGCUCCUUGCCAUUUCUGACAAUGAGUGGAACCAGUCUGAGAGUAAUGAACUAAUUACAUCUGUGUUUGUGGUGCCGUGUGAGCCAUGCAUUGUUUUAGGCCGGAGGCCACAUCUGAAUAUUUGUUAAAUCCCAUUAGGACAGUUUGGGGUGGUGUUCUCUUGUUCAUUUUGUUGGGAUUGGUGUUGUAGAUUUGUGCUGGCACAGUUCCUAAGUGGAAAUGAGAGCAGUGUAGAAAAUAAAAUAUUUGAAAAGCUCAUAAAAUGACAAGUUUAACUUUUUCCUGGAUAGAAAAAAAAUAGGCCUCUUUUUUUUUUUUUGUCCUUAAAAAUACACUGUGGACCCCUCCCCCUCCCCCGCAGUCGAGGUCUCACCUGGAAUAAGCCAUAAGCCCCAGUUUGGAGUUUAUUCUAGCAGCCUGAUCCACUGUAGGAAUGUAGGCUGGUUGGGAAAAUAAUUAGGAUCAGGUUUGAGCUGGGAAGAGGGCAGACUGGUGAAAUGCUUUUCUCACCGCUGGUGGUCUUUGGUUCUGAAAGAGAAUCUCCGAGCAGCAGGCCGUUGCUCAUUCAGAAUGUUCACUGCUCAGUGAGCUGCCGUCCAUGGGUCUUUAUGAACCAUUGUUGGUCUGUCCCAUCUCCUGGGGCUCCUUUACCUUUGUUUGUGACACACUCAAGAUAUGUAGCCUGCUGGUCUCUUACUCCUGACCCUUUUCUCUGUCUAGUAAUUGCUGGGAUCACAAGGUGUGCUCCACCACAGCUGGCUCUUUCCAGCCUUUUUUCGAAGUUCUUCAGGCUUCUGGAAGAUGAUUACGGCGGAGAGGAGGGUGCUUGGUGUUUCUGUGAUGACUCAUUAAAGCAGCUGACGAGCCAGGUGUGGUGGUGCAGUGCGCUUAAUCUAGGCACGCAGGAGUAGGUGACUCUGAGUUUGAAGCCAGCUUGGUCUUCAGAGAGAGAGAGAGAGAGAGUUCCAGGCCAGUCAGGGUUAUGUAUUCGACUCUUUUUUUGUUUUUGUUUUUUUUGGUUUGUUUUUUUGAGACAGGGUUUCUCUGUGUAGCCCUGGCUGCCCUGGAGCUCACUUUGUAGACCAGGCUGGACUCGAACUCAGAAAUCCGCCUGCCUCUGCCUCUGCUGGGAUUAAAGGCGUGCGCCACCACGCCCGGCCGAGACUCUGUCCU
rnacentral:lncRNA from 1 species